CUGGGAAGAGUUUCGAUGUCUCUAGGGUGGCUAGAGCGUCCUCCCGCGCUCAGUCGCGCUGCAGGUGACGGCGCCCGGAGGCUGUCGGGAAGUAGGCGGGGUGACGUGUGGUUGACGAGCUCGGCGGCGGGUUUGCUGAGAUCUGUGGCCGGCGGCAGCUGGUGCGGGGGGCAGCUGAGAGCGAGAGGUGGAUCGGGGCGGUGUGUGGCCAGGGCCAUGACGGGCAAUGCCGGGGAGUGGUGCCUCAUGGAAAGCGACCCCGGGGUCUUCACCGAGCUCAUUAAAGGAUUCGGUUGCCGAGGAGCCCAAGUAGAAGAAAUAUGGAGUUUAGAGCCUGAGAAUUUUGAAAAAUUAAAGCCAGUUCAUGGGUUAAUUUUUCUUUUCAAGUGGCAGCCAGGAGAAGAACCAGCAGGCUCUGUGGUUCAGGACUCCCGACUUGACACGAUAUUUUUUGCUAAGCAGGUAAUUAAUAAUGCUUGUGCUACUCAAGCCAUAGUGAGUGUGUUACUGAACUGUACCCACCAGGAUGUCCAUUUAGGCGAGACAUUAUCAGAGUUUAAAGAAUUUUCACAAAGUUUUGAUGCAGCUAUGAAAGGCUUGGCACUGAGCAAUUCAGAUGUGAUUCGACAAGUACACAACAGUUUCGCCAGACAGCAAAUGUUUGAAUUUGAUACGAAGACAUCAGCAAAAGAAGAAGAUGCUUUUCACUUUGUCAGUUAUGUUCCUGUUAAUGGGAGACUGUAUGAAUUAGAUGGAUUAAGAGAAGGACCGAUUGAUUUAGGUGCAUGCAAUCAAGAUGAUUGGAUCAGUGCAGUAAGGCCUGUCAUAGAAAAAAGGAUACAAAAAGACGGGUUUUCACCAUGUUGCCCAGGCUGGUCUCAGACUCCUGAGCUCAAGCCAUCCGCCUGCCUCGACCUCCCAAAGUGGUACAGUGAAGGUGAAAUUCGAUUUAAUUUAAUGGCCAUUGUGUCUGACAGAAAAAUGAUAUAUGAGCAGAAGAUAGCAGAGUUACAAAGACAACUUGCAGAGGAGGAACCCAUGGAUACAGAUCAAGGUAAUAGUAUGUUAAGUGCUAUUCAGUCAGAAGUUGCCAAAAAUCAGAUGCUUAUUGAAGAAGAAGUACAGAAAUUAAAAAGAUACAAGAUUGAGAAUAUCAGAAGGAAGCAUAAUUAUCUGCCUUUCAUUAUGGAAUUGUUAAAGACUUUAGCAGAACACCAGCAGUUAAUACCACUAGUAGAAAAGAUAUUCUGAUAUAGGGGAAGGAUUCUUUAAUAAGUUCCCCAAGUGAUUCUAAUGCAACUGGUCUGUGUACCACAGUUUGAGAAACACUUUGAGAAGACACUACUAGGCAAAUAAAAUUUUGGACCAUUAACUUAAAGACGAGAAUACAUGGCAAAAGAAAAACAGAACGCAAAGAAAGCUCAGGAAACCAAAUGAAGAUGUUUUCGGAUAUGUACACAUUUCUGCUUCUGCACAUAUUUUCAUGGAAACCAUUAUGUAUAAAGAACUUAGAGCAACAUCCUAAUUGGCUCAGUGCACGUUUGGCAAUAGUGCCAACCUGUCUUGUCUUUAAUGCAUGGAUUCAUAAACUUCUUCCCUACCUGCAUCAUGUGCAUGUAGUGCAUAUUAAAUGAAAGUGAUAUUAAGAGUGCUUUCCCAAAUUCCAUUAUUUGACAUUGAGUCUGACAACUGUUAGUUUUCUGGUUGUCUAACUACCAUAUGAAGCUAGAAAAUGCACAAACGAUAUUCCUUAUCUGUAAUUUAAAUACUUAAAAUUUGCAAUUGUCAGAUCUUGAUUAAACUGGUUGUCUUAUUUCUUCUCAUCAUUAACGGAAAAAAAAUCAGUAUUUCUAUCUUUGAUAUCUAAGUGUUUUGAGGAUUUUAAAACUGAAUUUUAUCUGCUAUACCAGUUAUUUGAGAAAGUAUGAUUUUAAUGUAAAUCAUUUAAAAAGGACAAAAGUAUAAUUUCCAGUGAUUUUCACUGCUGUCAGUAGAAAAGUAAUAAACAUCUCAAUUUUAUUUUAGUAAAUUUUCUUCAAGUGUUUGGGGUUAUUUGUUUAUGUAUUAGAGAAUUGUUUCAGGAAGGUCUGAGUAUUAUGCUUCAAAGCAAAAUUUCAGGUUAAGAAGAAAUUGUAAAUCUUAAAGAAUGUUGGUGUUACUCUCAAUGGAAUAUUGUUUCAAGCUCGUAAGCUGUGUAUAAAAAAACUGGAGGUCUGACAGUUCAUGUUAUCUGCCUUUUUAAAAAGAUGGUAGUGGUGAUGGGGGUCUUUCUAUGCCAAUUUGAAUAAAUUUCGUACAGCCUGCAGUUUUCAAGAGCCUAUGUAAUUUGCUCACAAUUGAUUUUUAAAAAUUGAUUUGGGAGUUGCUUUGUAAUAAUCUUCUGCUUCUAAUCUUCCUUUGCAAGUCAGACUUUAAAGAAGACUUUAUAAACCUUUCUUUUUUAAAGGAAGUAACCUACUUUUUUCUUUAUCAAGAAUAUUUCUGAGGUUGAUACAUGACUUUAACAUUUUAUUAUUUAUUGUAAAAUCAAUUUAGCAUAAUUUAUUUUAUUAGGGAGAAUGUGUACCCAUCUUCCAGCUUCAGCACAUUUUUAAGGAUUGUUUUUAAGCUUAGUAAUUGUGGUAUUAAAUGACUUAGAACUAAUGGAGAAAAACCUGAUAGGAAAUUGAUAGAAAAACGAAUGAAAUAUUUUUCAUACAUAAUUUCAGUUGGAGGUAAUGGAAAAUAUGUAGUCUCUCAGUUAUUUGUGGGUAAAUAUGUUUUGCUGUUGAUACAGUAAUAAUUAUGGAGUGUUUUCAAAGCCAUGAUAUAAUUUUUAAAAAUAGAUUUUUAAGGAAGGCUCAUCUUGAUCUCAUUCGUUUAUUUCAGCUUAACUUAUAUAUUCUUUCCUAUUGAGGCUUAAAUUUUGUUAAGCAAUGUGAGGAUUAUUGUGGUAAGUUGUAUUUAGUAAUCAAUACAGUGUGGUACUGGCACUAGGAUUGACAAAUAAAGCAAUGGAACAGAAGAGAGAGCCUGAAAACAGAUCAACGUUUAUAUGAUCACUUGAUUUCGACAAAGGUGGCAAAACAAUUCAACAGAGAAGGAAAGUGUUUUCAACAAAUGGAGCCAGAAUAGAAUAGCUGAAUAUCCAUAUAGAAAAAAGAGAACAAUGACCCCCUACCUCACAAAAAUGACUUUGAGAUGAAUCAUAGACCUAAAUGUAAUAUUUUAAAAGUAUGAAGCUUUUUAACUGAAAACAGAUGAUAUUUUUGUGACUUGGGGGGUUAGCCAAAGGUUUCUUAGGUCACAGAAAGCAGUAACCAUAAAAGAUCCAAAAUUAGAGCUCAUCAGAAUUGUCAUUGAAAAUGUUAACAAAAGUAAUAUCAAAUGACAUUUGAAAAAUAUCCUUGUAAAAUGUAUAUUAAUAGGUAUAAGGAUUUUUUCUUAUUAAUCUAAUAAAAUUCCUUAAUAGGAA